AUUGAACGCUGGCGGAAUGCUUUACACAUGCAAGUCGAACGGCAGCACGGGGGCAGUCCUGGUGGCGAGUGGCGAACGGGUGAGUAAUACAUCGGAACGUGCCCGGUCGUGGGGGAUAACGUAUCGAAAGUUACGCUAAUACCGCAUACGAUCUGAGGAUGAAAGCGGGUGACCUUCGGGCCUCUCGCGAUCUUAGCUGCCUAUGUCAUAUUAGGUAGUUGGUGGGGUAAAGGCCUACCAAGCCGAAGAUCUGUAGCUGGUCUGAGAGGACGACCAGCCACACUGGGAAUGAGACACGGGCCAGAAUCCUACGGGAGGCAGCAGUGGGGAAGUUUGGACAAUGGGCGCAAGCCUGAUCCAGCCAUUCAGCGUGCAGGACGAAGGCCUGCGGGUUGUAAACUGCUUUUGUACGGAAAGAAAAGGCUCUGGAUAAUACCUGGGGCUCAUGACGGGACCGUAAGAAUAAGCACCGGCGAACUACGU
rnacentral:rRNA from 1 species